GGGUAACGGGGUGUUAGGGCACGACACCGGAGAGGGAGCCUGAGAGACGGCUACCACAUCCAAGGAUGGCAGCAGGCGCGCAAAUUACCCAAUCCCGACACGGGGAGGUAGUGACAAUAAAUAACAAUACGGGGUUCUUUCGGAUCUCGUAAUUGGAAUGAGUACAAUUUAAAUCUCUUAACGAGGAACAAUUGGAGGGCAAGUCUGGUGCCAGCAGCCGCGGUAAUUCCAGCUCCAAUAGCGUAUAUUAAAGUUGUUGCAGUUAAAAAGCUCGUAGUUGAAUUUCGGGGUUAGUAGGUUGGUCAUGCCUCUGGUAUGUACUGGUCUCACUGAUUCCUCCUUCCUGAUGAACCGUAAUGCCAUUAAUUUGGUGUUGCGGGGAAUUUGGACUGUUACUUUGAAAAAAUUAGAGUGUUUAAAGCAAGCUAACGCUUGAAUACAUUAGCAUGGAAUAAUGAAAUAGGACGUUCGAUCCUAUUUUGUUGGUUUCUAGGAUUGACGUAAUGAUUAAUAGGGAUAGUUGGGGGCAUUAGUAUUCAAUUGUCAGAGGUGAAAUUCUUGGAUUUAUUGAAGACUAACUACUGCGAAAGCAUUUGCCAAGGAUGUUUUCAUUAAUCAAGAACGAAAGUUAGGGGAUCGAAGACGAUCAGAUACC
rnacentral:rRNA from 1 species